rnacentral:rRNA from 1 species
UACGGGGAUGGCGAGCGUUACUCGGAUUUACUGGGUGUAAAGGGCAGGUAGGCGGUUUUGUAAGUUGAAGGUUAAAUCCUCUGACUCAAUCAGAGACCUGCCUUCAAAACUGCAUAACUUGAGGAUUGGAGAGGAGAGCGGAAUUCCAGGUGUAAGGGUGAAAUCUGUAGAUAUCUGGAGGAACACCCGUGGCGAAAGCGGCUCUCUGGACAAUAUCUGACGCUGAACUGCGAAAGCUAGGGGAGCAAACAGG